rnacentral:rRNA from 1 species
AUGGCCGAGAUCCCGGACUCCGUCCUCGCCGUCGACGUCUACUGCUACAAGAUCUGCCGCCUCGUCGACCCACCCCCGCUCCACCUCGCCUGCUGCAGCAACUUCCACCGCGUCAAUGUCAAGAACGACCCCGGCAUGGAGGGCCUCGUCAAGAUGGCCAAUCUGGAAAAACUACCGGAUGAGCUUAUAGCACGAGAAGUUGUUAUAAAUGAUGCUGAUCCAUCUGUACGGCAUAAGCUCACGAAACGGCAAACACAGGGCGAGAUUGCAGGGAGGCUUUCCAAGCUAGAAAAGAAAAGAUGGAGGCCAAGGCGAACAAUCAUCUUCUGCAGUUGGGAUGCAGAAGAGUUUGCGCUGGUACCCGAUCCUGAUGAUCCAUCUCAUACCUUGUACGACUACAUGAUUCACCAGAAUCCUCCGAUGGGUAUAAUGAUUGCAAGAGUGGCCGGUGCGGGAACAGACUUUGCAGCUUUGUCCAGCACAUUGGAGUCCCUUCACUUGACAUCUCUUAUGGAUUAUAUUUAUAUGUUGUCGGAGCAGGACGACUGGUGGGGUACCAAAGCCUUCCCCGGCAUCGUCUCGGCCAUCGUGAGCACGCAGAAGCUCAACACGUCGGAAUAUUGGCGGCUGUUGCAGCAUGAGAUUUACAUGGGUGCAAGGGACAAUAAAGUCGGUAGACAGCCUAUGAGCGCAGAGGAGUAUCUCAAGAGGCGCGCCCCUGCCCCUAGUAAUGCUUGA